ensembl:rRNA 5S_rRNA 5S ribosomal RNA
AUCUACAGCCAUACCACCCUGAAUGCGCCUGAUCUCGUCUGAUCUCGGAAGCUUAGCAGGGUCUGGCCGUUUAGUACUUGGAUGGGAGACCGCCUGGGAACACCGGGCGCUGAAGGCU